rfam:Pteropus alecto contig111062, whole genome shotgun sequence.
GGUUCCAUAGUGUGGCAGUUAGCACGUCUGCUUUACACACAGAAGGUCCUGGGUUCACACCCCAGUGGAGCCA